AGAUUAAGUUAUUAAGGGCGCACGGUGGAUGCCUUGGCACUAGAAGCCGAUGAAGGACGUUACUAACGACGAUAUGCUUUGGGUAGCUGUAAGUAAGCGUUGAUCCAGAGAUUUCCGAAUGGGGGAACCCAACAUGAGUUAUGUCAUGUUAUCGACAUGUGAAUUCAUAGCAUGUCAGAAGGCAGACCCGGAGAACUGAAACAUCUUAGUACCCGGAGGAAGAGAAAGAAAAAUCGAUUCCCUGAGUAGCGGCGAGCGAAACGGGAAGAGCCCAAACCAACAAGCUUGCUUGUUGGGGUUGUAGGACACUCUAUACGGAGUUACAAAAGAACAUGUUAGACGAAUCAUCUGGAAAGAUGAAUCAAAGAAGGUAAUAAUCCUGUAGUCGAAAACAUAUUCUCUCUUGAGUGGAUCCUGAGUACGACGGAGCACGUGAAAUUCCGUCGGAAUCUGGGAGGACCAUCUCCUAAGGCUAAAUACUCUCUAGUGACCGAUAGUGAACCAGUACCGUGAGGGAAAGGUGAAAAGUACCCCGGAAGGGGAGUGAAAGAGAACUUGAAACCGUGUGCUUACAAGUAGUCAGAGCCCGUUAAUGGGUGAUGGCGUGCCUUUUGUAGAAUGAACCGGCGAGUUACGAUUUGAUGCAAGGUUAAGCAGCAAAUGUGGAGCCGCAGCGAAAGCGAGUCUGAAUAGGGCGUUGAGUAUUUGGUCGUAGACCCGAAACCAGGUGAUCUACCCUUGGUCAGGUUGAAGUUCAGGUAACACUGAAUGGAGGACCGAACCGACUUACGUUGAAAAGUGAGCGGAUGAACUGAGGGUAGCGGAGAAAUUCCAAUCGAACUUGGAGAUAGCUGGUUCUCUCCGAAAUAGCUUUAGGGCUAGCCUCAAGUGAUGAUUAUUGGAGGUAGAGCACUGUUUGGACGAGGGGCCCCUCUCGGGUUACCGAAUUCAGACAAACUCCGAAUGCCAAUUAAUUUAACUUGGGAGUCAGAACAUGGGUGAUAAGGUCCGUGUUCGAAAGGGAAACAGCCCAGACCACCAGCUAAGGUCCCAAAAUAUAUGUUAAGUGGAAAAGGAUGUGGCGUUGCCCAGACAACUAGGAUGUUGGCUUAGAAGCAGCCAUCAUUUAAAGAGUGCGUAAUAGCUCACUAGUCGAGUGACACUGCGCCGAAAAUGUACCGGGGCUAAACAUAUUACCGAAGCUGUGGAUUGUCCUUUGGACAAUGGUAGGAGAGCGUUCUAAGGGCGUCGAAGCAUGAUCGCAAGGACAUGUGGAGCGCUUAGAAGUGAGAAUGCCGGUGUGAGUAGCGAAAGACGGGUGAGAAUCCCGUCCACCGAUUGACUAAGGUUUCCAGAGGAAGGCUCGUCCGCUCUGGGUUAGUCGGGUCCUAAGCUGAGGCCGACAGGCGUAGGCGAUGGAUAACAGGUUGAUAUUCCUGUACCACCUAGUAUCGUUUUAAUCGAUGGGGGGACGCAGUAGGAUAGGCGAAGCGUGCUGUUGGAGUGCACGUCCAAGCAGUAAGGCUGAGUGUUAGGCAAAUCCGGCACUCAUAAGGCUGAGCUGUGAUGGGGAGAGGAAAUUGUUUCCUCGAGUCGUUGAUUUCACACUGCCGAGAAAAGCCUCUAGAUAGAUAACAGGUGCCCGUACCGCAAACCGACACAGGUAGUCAAGAUGAGAAUUCUAAGGUGAGCGAGCGAACUCUCGUUAAGGAACUCGGCAAAAUGACCCCGUAACUUCGGGAGAAGGGGUGCUCUUUAGGGUUCACGCCCAGAAGAGCCGCAGUGAAUAGGCCCAAGCGACUGUUUAUCAAAAACACAGGUCUCUGCUAAACCGUAAGGUGAUGUAUAGGGGCUGACGCCUGCCCGGUGCUGGAAGGUUAAGAGGAGUGGUUAGCUUCUGCGAAGCUACGAAUCGAAGCCCCAGUAAACGGCGGCCGUAACUAUAACGGUCCUAAGGUAGCGAAAUUCCUUGUCGGGUAAGUUCCGACCCGCACGAAAGGCGUAACGAUUUGGGCACUGUCUCAACGAGAGACUCGGUGAAAUCAUAGUACCUGUGAAGAUGCAGGUUACCCGCGACAGGACGGAAAGACCCCGUGGAGCUUUACUGUAGCCUGAUAUUGAAAUUCGGCACAGCUUGUACAGGAUAGGUAGGAGCCUUUGAAACGUGAGCGCUAGCUUACGUGGAGGCGUUGGUGGGAUACUACCCUAGCUGUGUUGGCUUUCUAACCCGCACCACUUAUCGUGGUGGGAGACAGUGUCAGGCGGGCAGUUUGACUGGGGCGGUCGCCUCCUAAAAGGUAACGGAGGCGCUCAAAGGUUCCCUCAGAAUGGUUGGAAAUCAUUCAUAGAGUGUAAAGGCAUAAGGGAGCUUGACUGCGAGACCUACAAGUCGAGCAGGGUCGAAAGACGGACUUAGUGAUCCGGUGGUUCCGCAUGGAAGGGCCAUCGCUCAACGGAUAAAAGCUACCCCGGGGAUAACAGGCUUAUCUCCCCCAAGAGUUCACAUCGACGGGGAGGUUUGGCACCUCGAUGUCGGCUCAUCGCAUCCUGGGGCUGUAGUCGGUCCCAAGGGUUGGGCUGUUCGCCCAUUAAAGCGGUACGCGAGCUGGGUUCAGAACGUCGUGAGACAGUUCGGUCCCUAUCCGUCGUGGGCGUAGGAAAUUUGAGAGGAGCUGUCCUUAGUACGAGAGGACCGGGAUGGACAUACCUCUGGUGUACCAGUUGUCGUGCCAACGGCAUAGCUGGGUAGCUAUGUAUGGACGGGAUAAGUGCUGAAAGCAUCUAAGCAUGAAGCCCCCCUCAAGAUGAGAUUUCCCAACUUCGGUUAUAAGAUCCCUCGAAGAUGACGAGGUUAAUAGGUUCGAGGUGGAAGCGUGGUGACACGUGGAGCUGACGAAUACUAAUCGAUCGAAGACUUAAUCAAUUUUUAAA
rnacentral:rRNA from 1 species